rnacentral:rRNA from 1 species
AUUGAACGCUGGCGGCAGGCCUAACACAUGCAAGUCGAGCGGAAACGAGAAGUAGCUUGCUACUUCGGCGUCGAGCGGCGGACGGGUGAGUAAUGCCUAGGAAAUUGCCCUGAUGUGGGGGAUAACCAUUGGAAACGAUGGCUAAUACCGCAUAAUGCCUUCGGGCCAAAGAGGGGGACCUUCGGGCCUCUCGCGUCAGGAUAUGCCUAGGUGGGAUUAGCUAGUUGGUGAGGUAAUGGCUCACCAAGGCGACGAUCCCUAGCUGGUCUGAGAGGAUGAUCAGCCACACUGGAACUGAGACACGGUCCAG